AUGCCAGCACCCGAGCACGAUCUUCUCCUGUGCGUCGUCGAAGAUGUCUUCGGCGUCCUCCAGAGCGUGCCUCAGCAUGGCGGCCAUCUUGUCCAGCGCAUCCAAAUCGGUUUUCACCCUCUCUCCUCUCUGCAUCAUCCUCUCCUGAUCCACGGCCCGCAGCGUCUUCUCCAGCUCCGGGAUGAUGUGGAUCUCCAGCUCCUGGAGCUUCUUGGAUGCGUGGAAGCCAAGGCAGACAAGGAUCUUGGGCAGGAACAAGGUGAUGACGGGCGAGAGCAGCCAGCCAAGCACGGCCACGAUCUCGGCAGCUUUCCAUUCCAAAUCAGCGGCCAUGGAAACGGAAUGCUGUGGAUUUUCCCUGAAGCUAGGGUGUUUUUUUGCUGCGGAAGAAGAGUGAAUAGUAUGAAACUGGGGAAAUUUUUACCGUCCGGAAUCGACAGAGAGAGAGAGGAGCGAUGUGUAAAGAGAAGUGAUGUCUGGUUACCUUAUCAAGGAGGAGGAAGAAAGCGUCGGCCGCCGUGGAGGGCUAUGACCGGCGGCUGGGAUUCACUGUUCAGGGGAUCUCUUUUCACUGGAGGAGUCGAGGCAGCUUCACAGUUGAGGAGGAAGAAGGCGCUCUUGAGUAGUAGCCAUUGUCGCCGCCCGACGCCGGUGGGUGGUAGCCUCUUAGUCUUAGUUGCUCUCGAAACCAGGGGCGGCUGGACCUGGACGGAGGCUGUUUUGCUCUUCAGCAUUUUUUUUUAA
rnacentral:rRNA from 1 species